rnacentral:rRNA from 1 species
UACGUAGGGGGCAAGCGUUGUCCGGAUUUAUUGGGCGUAAAGCGUCCGCAGGUGGCACUUCAAGUCUGUCGUCAAAGACUGGGGCUUAACCCUGGAAAGGCGGUGGAAACUGAACAGCUAGAGUAUGGUAGGGGCAGAGGGAAUUCCUGGUGUAGCGGUGAAAUGCGUAGAUAUCAGGAAGAACAUCGGUGGCGAAGGCGCUCUGCUGGACCAUAACUGACACUCAGGGACGAAAGCUAGGGGAGCGAAUGGG